rnacentral:lncRNA from 1 species
GAGAGGGCUGCGGAACAGGCGCAUUUGUGGGCGGAACGCCGGAAGCGAGGAGCGAGUUCUCUGUUCUCGUGGAGUGUGGAUCCAGCUUUAAUGGUAUCUUAGCAACAACAACCACAAACAACAGUCUACUUGAGGCGAGUCAGUAACAUGUCGGAAAACGGAAAAGCACCAUCAAAAAAGCUCUCUCCAGAGGCUCAGUGUAUCUCAAACAUUUUAGAACAGUGCAUCAGCCAGCUUGAGAUUGCAGCAGCUCUGCCGACCGUCCUCUGCUCUAACAGCAUUUCAGCUAUUGAGGACCAAGAUUUGAGCAGAAAACUCCAAGUGCAUCAAACAUUAUCAGAACGACUGCUGAAGCUAGAACAAGGACAAGAGAGGAAGACCAAAAGAGUCCAGCUAGAGAAGCACGUCAAGUUCUCUGUCAGAAAUGUCCUCAGGGCUUUUCUAGUCCAUCCAGAUGCCAUUUUGGGCUUGAGGAAAAAGUCAGAUAUGGCAGUAGGGGAGAGUGAGGGCCUGCUUAUCAGAAAUCUUAGAAUGUUUCACAGCUAUAUGGUGCACAGCCUGCUGACCAGUGUUAAGGAGGAGCUACAGCUGAGUAAGCACUUGUCUUUAUUAAAAGAAGAAGAAGAAGAAGAAGAAGAAGACGAAGAAGUGGAAGAAGAAGGAGGAGGAGGAGACAAAUCUGCCUUGGAGACAACUGAUGCAGAGAUUUCUCAUAAAAACUCUGAGAUCAUCAUGCAAGAACAAGAUGCACCACCACCCACAGACAAACAGGGCCUGCUGCAUACAAAGACAAUAAGCCCACAGCUGACAAGUAUACAACAGGAAAUUGACCAACUUAACAUCCAGCUCAACAAUUUGAUGCUUACAAACAGACAGGCAGAGGCUUUACUACAAGAGAAAAAUGAACAAGUGGAGAUGGAAACUGAAUACGUGCUCAAACAUUUUGAUGAUGAAAUAGAAGAAAUCCAGGCCAAACUGGAGUCCAAUGAAAAUGGUUAUGUAAAGGAGAAUGAGGAGGUGAGGGAGCUGGAGGAACCCUUUUCUCUGCUUGAGAUGGAGUGCAACAAGAUCCAGGAGAGGCAGAGGCUGGCUGAAGAAAAGAGGAUUGAACAGCUGAGAGAGCUGGAGUUGAAGGCAAAAGCUGCUCUGCCUGGUGGAGAGGAUACUCAACUCGCACAGCCUUAAAGAACAAAAACAAAACCAAGACUUGGUUCCGCACUUCACUCUGCCUGUAAGGAGAUUUGCAUGUUUUAUUAUUUUUUUAAAUCAUUUGUCUUGUUUUCAAUAAAGUUUAUCUUCACGUUUAUGACA